UGUAAAUUUGAUGUAAGUGAUAUUUACAACAUUUUUACAUCAAAUUUACAUCGUUUUGGGGGAAUUCUAGAGCAACUCAAUUAAAAUCAUUCUUAUAAACAGCGAAACUUUUUGUUUCAGUUACUUUUUUAUUUUAAAUCAUGUAAAUAUAUGCAACAACUCGAUAGCGAGGCUUUAAAUUAUCUCAAAUUCAAGAUGGCGACCGCAAUGUCACGUCCGUUCGUCUGUAUUAGCAGCGAUUUUUACUCGAAUGUCGUUAGAAAAAGUGGAUUCUUAAAUUGAAUGAGAAAAUUUCCAACCCAAUGUGGAAAAUGCCAACGAAAAGACAGUGGGAUGUUUUAGCUUGAAUAGUAGAAGAAGACCAACAAAAGUUUCUGUGUUGUGCUACUUUGAUGUGCUAACAAGUCUAAACGGUGUGGAAAAUGUUUUCUCAAGUCAAGUAUGAAACACGGUCGG